rnacentral:sRNA from 1 species
CCACUUAAGGUUGGCUUAAUCUGUGUCAGGCAAACUCUCCUCCAGAGUAUCGGAGGAGAGUGUCAUGAAAAACCGCAUUUAUGAAAGUUUGACCACCGUGUGCAGCGUGCUGAUCGUCAGCAGCUUUUUGUACGUUUGGGUGAGUUCUUACUGACCUUUC